CGUCUUUCUCACAGCAGGCUUGCCCGCUUUGGCAGAGGCCAUCCGCCGUCGAAGCAGACGGUGACAGGCACCUGCCAAAUCAGCGUUAUCACGGCUGUCUUUUCUUGUGCAAGCGCCGCACCGCGACGCUGCCGUCGAUCAUUCAGGAUGCUUCGUCAGCUGAGCAUCCGGCAGGCGCCAAAGGUGGAGCUCAUCUCCCCAACACCGUCCGCGCCGAUUCAGAACUUCGACUUGCGACCGAUAGCCGCGUCGCUCCUGUACCGGAAACUCCUGAAGCUGUACUUGCGCAAAUUCGACACGGACACCAACACAAUCAUUCGCGCAUGGAAGCAGACCAAGUACGAGUUCUGGGUACACCGUAACGUGUCCAAGGAGGAAGCCGAUUUGCUAAAUAUAAAGGGCCAGCAAGUGCUGGAGGCGAUUCGCGCCGGCCUCGUGCCGGUGUACCAUAACUCAAAGACGAAUCAGACCUACUACAAGUACGACGCCGACACGCUGAACGCUGUACACAACCAUGUAGACCCCGUGAGCGCCGAAGAAUUCCUUCGCCGCUUCCACGACCGAAUGGACUCAAGGGAUGUGGAAGAGAUCAAAGCCACGCUGAAGAAGCUCGGGCGCUGGACAGGGCCGGACGAACUCCGGAAGGAGGACCUCUUUCGCGUCAAAACCAAGCGCAAGGUCAAGUGCACCGACCCAGACGAGUGAGCCCAUCACCUUGCCCGCAGAGAGAUCGCGCGCGCGCGAGAGAGUCCAGAAGCGUGGAACGGCGGGCUCUUUGUCUCACAGUUGUUGCUGCACCCUUGCCAAAUGCCGGCCCACCUCUGGUGGUGGCAAGGGUUAAGCGCGUACGACAGAAGGGAGUCCGGGGCGAUGCAUCGCUGCCGAUGCCCGCGGCCAGGUCCUGGAUGGCACGUCGCCGAAGAGACCUGCGUUCAGCGAACGCGCCUGCGCUAUCCAUGUGGCUGGGCAGGGCGUCGGCGUGACUCGAGCGUACGCCUCACCCCCUGGUUCACACCGUUCGCUGGUGUGGGGGCCUGCGGGGCGGGGGUGGGCAGGUGGCGUUUGAGGCAGGGACCGUGCUCGGCUGCCUGCAUCGGCAGCAUAGCUGCAACGCGCGUGUCUCCGGCUUCUCCGCAUCACGCGAUGUGGGGCCUGUGGCAGAAUGUACACGUUGCAGGAAAAAUAAGAUAUGUCGUGCAGCGCUGUGUUGAGGCUUUCUCUUCAGGCUUUCGCCUGCUGUUCUCCUUACCUGUGAAUGGUUGUGCGCAGCGACGCUCCUUUUUUUUGUAGGAGGGUGGGAGGGGAGUGGGUGAGCUGCUGCACUUAAGUGGAAAAAAAAAAACGCAUAAAAACAAGCGACUACGGCGAAGAUAUCUACGAGGGCGCCCCGCUUGUGAGGGUUUCGCCUGCAGCGAUGAGAGGAUGCCGCGCUGUGCGUCAUAAUCCCUUGUAAAAACGCACACCUGUGAACACAGUUGUGCGUGUGGGUCGUCCGCAUCGCUGCGCAAACUCCUCCCGCAUGGAUGAAUCCGGUGUGGCCACCGUGUGGGUGCGCGGUCAGCAGCUUUCGCGCUGCUCCGUGUCCCGAUUGGUAAAUUGCUGACCGAUACGACUUUGGCUUUUCCUUUUGCUUCGCUCUUCGUCAUCGUCGAUGCUUGAGUGACACGGAGGAUGCACCACUGCACCUUCGUGUGCCGCAUCUCUCGCCGUCUGUGCGUUUCACCCGCUCACGCUGGAUGCGGCGCCCACUCAG
rnacentral:misc_RNA from 1 species